UAGGAUGGCCUGUCUUUUUGUUUUAGCCA
rnacentral:piRNA from 1 species